GACGAACGCUGGCGGCGUGCCUAACACAUGCAAGUCGAGCGGGGACAGGGAGGAGCUUGCUCCGAACUGUUCUAGCGGCGGACGGGUGAGUAACACGUGGGCAACCUGCCUCAUAGAGGGGAAUAGCCUUCCGAAAGGGAGAUUAAUACCGCAUAAGAUUGUAGUACCGCAUGGUACAGCAAUUAAAGGAGCAAUCCGCUAUGAGAUGGGCCCGCGGCGCAUUAGCUAGUUGGUGAGGUAACGGCUCACCAAGGCGACGAUGCGUAGCCGACCUGAGAGGGUGAUCGGCCACAUUGGGACUGAGACACGGCCCAGACUCCUACGGGAGGCAGCAGUGGGGAAUAUUGCACAAUAGGGGAAACCCUGAUGCAGCGACGCCGCGUGGAGGAAGAAGGUCUUCGGAUUGUAAACUCCUGUUGUUGAGGAAGAUAAUGACGGUACUCAACAAGGAAGUGACGGCUAACUACGUG
rnacentral:rRNA from 1 species